GAUGAACGCUGGCGGCGUGCCUAAUACAUGCAAGUCGAGCGAACAGAUAAGGAGCUUGCUCCUUUGAAGUUAGCGGCGGACGGGUGAGUAACACGUGGGUAACCUACCUAUAAGACUGGGAUAACUUCGGGAAACCGGAGCUAAUACCGGAUAACAUUUAGAACCGCAUGGUUCUAAAGUGAAAGAUGGUUUUGCUAUCACUUAUAGAUGGACCCGCGCCGUAUUAGCUAGUUGGUAAGGUAACGGCUUACCAAGGCGACGAUACGUAGCCGACCUGAGAGGGUGAUCGGCCACACUGGAACUGAGACACGGUCCAGACUCCUACGGGAGGCAGCAGUAGGGAAUCUUCCGCAAUGGGCGAAAGCCUGACGGAGCAACGCCGCGUGAGUGAUGAAGGGUUUCGGCUCGUAAAACUCUGUUAUUAGGGAAGAACAAAUGUGUAAGUAACUGUGCACAUCUUGACGGUACCUAAUCAGAAAGCCACGGCUAACUACGUGCCAGCAGCCGCGGUAAUACGUAGGUGGCAAGCGUUAUCCGGAAUUAUUGGGCGUAAAGCGCGCGUAGGCGGUUUCUUAAGUCUGAUGUGAAAGCCCACGGCUCAACCGUGGAGGGUCAUUGGAAACUGGGAAACUUGAGUGCAGAAGAGGAAAGUGGAAUUCCAUGUGUAGCGGUGAAAUGCGCAGAGAUAUGGAGGAACACCAGUGGCGAAGGCGACUUUCUGGUCUGUAACUGACGCUGAUGUGCGAAAGCGUGGGGAUCAAACAGGAUUAGAUACCCUGGUAGUCCACGCCGUAAACGAUGAGUGCUAAGUGUUAGGGGGUUUCCGCCCCUUAGUGCUGCAGCUAACGCAUUAAGCACUCCGCCUGGGGAGUACGACCGCAAGGUUGAAACUCAAAGGAAUUGGCGGGGACCCGCACAAGCGGUGGAGCAUGUGGUUUAAUUCGAAGCACGCGAAGAACCUUACCAAAUCUUGACAUCCUUUGAAAACUCUAGAGAUAGAGCCUUCCCCUUCGGGGGACAAAGUGACAGGUGGUGCAUGGUUGUCGUCAGCUCGUGUCGUGAGAUGUUGGGUUAAGUCCCGCAACGAGCGCAACCCUUAAGCUUAGUUGCCAUCAUUAAGUUGGGCACUCUAGGUUGACUGCCGGUGACAAACCGGAGGAAGGUGGGGAUGACGUCAAAUCAUCAUGCCCCUUAUGAUUUGGGCUACACACGUGCUACAAUGGACAAUACAAAGGGCAGCUAAACCGCGAGGUCAUGCAAAUCCCAUAAAGUUGUUCUCAGUUCGGAUUGUAGUCUGCAACUCGACUACAUGAAGCUGGAAUCGCUAGUAAUCGUAGAUCAGCAUGCUACGGUGAAUACGUUCCCGGGUCU
rnacentral:rRNA from 1 species